rnacentral:rRNA from 1 species
UACAGAGGCCUCGAGCGUUAGGCGGAAUCACUGGGCUUAAAGCGUGUGUAGGCGGACUUCUAAGUACCUUGUGAAAUCCCACAGCUUAACUGUGGAACUGCUUGGUAUACUGGUUGUCUUGAGGUACCUAGGGGCGAGCGGAACAAGUGGUGGAGCGGUGAAAUGCGUAGAUAUCGCUUGGAACGCCGAAGGUGAAAACAGGUCGCUGGGGACGCGCCGACGCUGAGACACGAAAGCCAGGGGAGCAAACGGG